GACGUAGGGCGCGAGCGUUGUCCGGAUUUAUUGGGCGUAAAGAGCUCGUAGGCGGUUUGUCGCGUCGAAUGUGAAAACCCGGGGCUCAACUCCGGGCCUGCAUUCGAUACGGGCAGACUAGAGUUCGGUAGGGGGAGUCUGGAAUUCCUGGUGUAGCGGUGGAAUGCGCAGAUAUCAGGAGGAACACCGAUGGCGAAGGCAGCUCGCUGGGACGGUACUGACGCUGAGGCGCGAAAGCGUGGGGAGCGAACAGG
rnacentral:rRNA from 1 species